AUUGAACGCUGGCGGCAGGCCUAACACAUGCAAGUCGAGCGAGCGGCGGAGGGGAGUGAAGUGUAUGGGGCUCUGCCAGAGAGAGGGGGAUAACUACUAGAAAGGGUGGCUAAUAACGCAUUAUAUCGGCAGACCCCAUAUGGGAUUAGCUAAUAUGUGGGGUAAAGGCACACCUAGGCGACGAUCUCUAGCUGGUAGGAGAGGAUGAUCAGCCACACGGUGACUGAGACACGGCCCAGACUCCUACGGGAGGCAGCAGUGGGGAAUAUUGCACAAUGGGCGCAAGCCUGAUGCAGCCAUGCCGCGUGUAUGAAGAAGGCCUUAUGGUUGUAAAGUACUUUCAGUCGGGAGGCGUUACCCGCAGAAGAAGCACCUGCUAACUCCGUGCCAGCAGCCGCGGUAAUUC
rnacentral:rRNA from 1 species